rnacentral:misc_RNA from 1 species
AACGCAAAUUGCGCUCUUGGGUAGCCCUAGGAGCACGCCUCUCUCAGUAUCGGUUCAACAAUCUCUCAGCAGCGUAUAGCAAUAUGCGUGAUGGCUGGAUAAUGAGAGUCUGAGUGCUUGUCGCUCAGUCUCUUUAAAUUCAUGGAGUAAACAUGACUAGCGAUCAACUCUGCUUUUGCAGAUAGUCAAUCUCUGACUGUUGUUCAUUAGUGACGUGAAUACUGGCCUUUAUGGUCUUCUUUUACGUGUAUCUUUUGAGCAAUAUUAAAGUCUAGGAUCGGCGAACGUUCGUUUAGGGUGUGUUUAUGGAAGAAAACCAUAUGAUCGUAAUUAAUUAAUUUUAAUCAUGGUCUGAAUUUUGAUCUGAGAUGAAGCGAGACAACCCCCUGAAUUUAA